CGGGCGGCUGGGAGCGGCUGGGAGCGGCGGCGGCGGAGGGAGCUGGGGCGCUGCCGCCCGGCCGAUCGGUGUUCUGCCACCGUGCAAGGCAGACGGAGCUCGCAGGCAGCUGUGGUGCAGCAGAGGAGCUGCAGCUGGCAGAUACCCGAAGUUGCCCGCUUCUCUGUGCCUCUCGGUGUUACAUGCGAUAAACGCGUGCGGAAACCAGACCUCAGGUAUUCUAGAUGAAAGGCAACAAGAAAACGAGCAACGUAACGUGAAUCAAGUGAAUUUCUGCUUCUGUUGGGUUCUAGGCUAAUCUGGUUGAGAAUAAGACUCAGAUUCUGAAGUGUUUGAGGAACUUGCUACUGCCCAAGUCAUGACACUCCCAUUUCGAAAGGACUUGGACAAAUACAAAGAUCUUGAUGAGGAUGAAAUUCUUGGCAAACUGUCAGAAGAAGAACUGAAACAACUGGAAACAGUUUUGGAUGACCUUGACCCAGAGAAUGCACUUCUGCCCGCGGGCUUCCGACAGAAAGACCAGACUGCUAAAAAGGCUUCAGGUCCUUUCGACAGAGAACGACUCCUUGCCUAUUUGGAGAAGCAGGCUCUUGAGCACAAAGACAGGGAAGACUAUGUGCCUUUUACAAAAGAAAAGAAAGGGAAAAUAUUUAUUCCCAAGCAAAAGCCUGUACAGUCGUAUACGGAAGAAAAAAUUGCUCUUGAUCCAGAACUGGAGGAAGCCUUGACUAGUGCCACAGACACAGAACUGUGUGACCUUGCAGCUAUACUGGGAAUGUCCAACUUGAUAACAAACAAUCAGUUCUGUGAUGUAGUAGGAAGCAGUAAUGGGGUAGACAAAGACAGCUUCUCAAAUAUAGUAAAAGGUGAAAAAAUGUUACCUGUUUUUGAUGAACCGCCAAAUCCCACAAAUGUAGAGGAGACUUUGCAAAGGAUUAAAGAUAAUGAUUCCCGUCUUGUUGAAGUUAAUCUAAAUAAUAUUAAGAACAUACCAAUUCCAACGCUGAAAGAAUUUGCAAAAGCCCUAGAAACCAACACGCAUGUGAAGAAUUUUAGCCUUGCGGCCACCCGAAGCAAUGAUCCUGUUGCUGUUGCUCUUGCAGAUAUGCUGAGAGUAAACACAAAAUUAAGAAGUUUAAACAUAGAAUCGAACUUCAUCACUGGAGUUGGAAUUCUGGCACUGGUUGAUGCACUGAAAGACAAUGAAACAUUGACAGAGAUCAAAAUUGAUAAUCAGAGGCAGCAGUUGGGCACGCUUGCAGAAGUAGAAAUUGCCAAAAUGCUUGAAGAAAACACCAAGAUCCUUAAAUUUGGAUACCAUUUCACACAACAGGGACCUCGAGCCAGGGCAGCUGCAGCUAUAACAAAAAAUAAUGAUUUGGUCUGGAGUAUACGAGUAAAAGUUUCUGCAAAUACCUUUUCGUCUCUCCAGCCCUGAAGCUACAGAGACAGGUUACUCUGAGUACCCAGUUGGGUGUCAAGCGCUGAAAACUGAGAUGUUCAAAGCCUCUCAUUUCUGUCUUUUUCGGAAGAGAAGAGUUGAAGGAGACAGCCAGUAGAUCUUGUUGUUAAAUUGUUAAAACUACAUGGAGAUUUCAAGGGUCUUCAAGGCAUGCUCCUCACUGUGGGCUUUGGCAAUCUUGGACUACAUUUACUUAGGUUAGAAGGGAAAAGACUGGAAACCCCAUUCCUUUUAAAGCAAAGCUAUAUUAAAAAUCUGCUGGUAUAUACCACAUUUUUCAGAUUGACACAUUGUAACUGCGCCAGUCUCUGUACCAUAGUUUUUGGUUGUUUUUUUUUCUAAAAGAACUUUUUUGUAUUUCAGGACCUUGGCUGUGCUUUCUUCUUAAAAUGUAAUCACGAAUCAGUGGUAUAAUUGUCUGUAGCCAAAGAAUGGGACAUUCAAGAUCAUUGGGCAGAUAAUGACCCAAUUGAAAUGGUUGUCAGAAAAUCUAGGGGUGCUUAUUUACAUGGAGGGGUGUGUAUAUUCUUGAGAACAAUGCUUUAGUAACGAGGGAUUCAUCACACAAUAGUUGGACUCAUUGUGUAGAGCUGUUCAUCCUUGUUCAUAUGCACUGAAGAGAAAUCUUUCACAACUUUUAUUUGUGAUUCUUUUUUAUUUUUGAUUCAUUCUUGGUACUGUGAUUAAGUGUAAACAUCCCUUAAAAGCAAGCAAAAAUAAAUUGUCUAAAGACCUUUUUCCCAAGAGAUUUGAGUGACCGAUUAAAAAAAAAAAAAAAAAGAAAAAAAAUGGGAGCCUUGC